UUAAUCAAUUAGCUCUUAUACUAUUAUAACAGAGAUGAUAAUUUUUUUUUAAAAGGGGGUGAUGAACAGGAAUUCCUUCUACAACAGAGGAAUUUGACACAAUUCGUAGCCGUCGUAGUGUUGCUAAAACCCUAAAGUUUAAGCCUAUGAAAGGGAACCGCAUCAUCGACGUAACAGCUUAUCAAAUGCCCUUCUGGAACGUAUCAUUUCUGAUAAAAUGGCAAAACAGAGAAGCAAAGAGUCUUUCAUACUGAUCAUCAUUUCAUGCUAAAUAACUAAUAAGGUCCAUCUGAUGAAAUGCCUUGUUCUCUCGUUUUUCACUCGAGAAAUUGGCGUGGAAUUUCUACAGGUCAAAUAUCUGCAGGUCAAACUUCGAGUUAGAUAGCAGAGAUUUUCUUCUCCAUAGCGCGGAACUGUGAUGAAGACGUCAAAUGAAAAUAACACAGCGGCAACACCCAUCAAUCCAAGCGCAUGUAAAAAUCAUGGGUUUUCCGUUGAAAAUCAGCUCAAUUAUGAUCAAAAUAAGAUACAAAUGAGUCUCAAUUAAAUUGACGCAUUCAAUGUUUCAAACCAGCUGACCGAAUUUCAGCUCAAUCUAGCGAUUAAUGAAUGUGCAAAUAUCAAUUUAUCUCGAGAUUGCCCCG